rnacentral:rRNA from 1 species
GUUGUCCGGAAUCAUUGGGCGUAAAGAGCGUGUAGGCGGCCCGGUAAGUCCGCUGUGAAAGUCGGGGGCUCAACCCUCGAAUGCCGGUGGAUACUGUCGGGCUAGAGUGCGGAAGAGGCGAGUGGAAUUCCUGGUGUAGCGGUGAAAUGCGCAGAUAUCAGGAGGAACACCAAUUGCGAAGGCAGCUCGCUGGGACGUAACUGACGCUGAGACGCGAAAGCGUGGGGAGCAAACAGG